AUUGAACGCUGGCGGCAGGCUUAACACAUGCAAGUCGAACGGUAACAUAAAGAAGCUUGCUUCUUUGAUGACGAGUGGCGGACGGGUGAGUAAUGCUUGGGAAUCUAGCUCAUGGAGGGGGAUAACUACGGGAAACUGUAGCUAAUACCGCGUAAUAUCGAAAGAUUAAAGUGUGGGACCUUCGGGCCACAUGCCAUAGGAUGAGCCCAAGUGGGAUUAGGUAGUUGGUGAGGUAAAGGCUCACCAAGCCGACGAUCUCUAGCUGGUCUGAGAGGAUGACCAGCCACACUGGGACUGAGACACGGCCCAGACUCCUACGGGAGGCAGCAGUGGGGAAUAUUGCGCGAUGGGGGCAACCCUGACGCAGCCAUGCCGCGUGAAUGAAGAAGGCCUUCGGGUUGUAAAGUUCUUUCGGUAGCGAGGAAGGCAUUUAGUUUAAUAGACUAGGUGAUGACGUAA
rnacentral:rRNA from 1 species